rnacentral:rRNA from 1 species
GAUGAACGCUAGCGGCAGGCCUAAUACAUGCAAGUCGAACGGGAUCCAGAUCAAAGCUUGCUUUGGUUUGGUGAGAGUGGCGCACGGGUGCGUAACGCGUGAGCAACCUACCCUUGUCAGGGGGAUAGCCCGGCGAAAGUCGGAUUAAUACCGCAUGACAUCAUUGAGAGGCAUCUUUCGAUGAUCAAAGAUUUAUCGGACAAGGAUGGGGCUCGCGUGACAUUAGCUAGUUGGUAAGGUAACGGCUUACCAAGGCUACGAUGUCUAGGGGCUCUGAGAGGAGAAUCCCCCACACUGGUACUGAGACACGGACCAGACUCCUACGGGAGGCAGCAGUAAGGAAUAUUGGUCAAUGGACGGAAG